rnacentral:rRNA from 1 species
UACGUAGGGUGCAAGCGUUAAUCGGAAUUACUGGGCGUAAAGGGCGCGCAGGCGGCUCAUUUUGUCAGGCGUGAAAGCCCCGGGCUUAACCUGGGAACUGCGUUUGAUACGGAUGGGCUAGAGUUCGGGAGAGGAGAGUGGAAUUCCCAGUGUAGAGGUGAAAUUCGUAGAUAUUGGGAAGAACACCGGUGGCGAAGGCGGCUCUCUGGACCGAGACUGACGCUGAGGCGCGAAAGCGUGGGGAGCAAACAGG